GAUGAACGCUGGCGGCGUGCCUAAUACAUGCAAGUCGAGCGAACAGACGAGGAGCUUGCUCCUCUGACGUUAGCGGCGGACGGGUGAGUAACACGUGGAUAACCUACCUAUAAGACUGGGAUAACUUCGGGAAACCGGAGCUAAUACCGGAUAACAUCUUGAACCGUAUGGUUCAACAGUGAAAGAUGGUCUUGCUGUCACUUAUAGAUGUCUCCGCGUCGCAUUAGCUAUUUGGUAAGGUAACGGUAUACCAAGGCAACGGUGCGUAGCCGACCUGAGAGGGGGAAGGGCAACAAGGGAACUGAGAAACGAUCAAAAAUCCAACGGGAGGCAGAAGAAGGAAAUAUUCAGAAAUGGGCGAAAGACUGACGAAGAAAGGCCGCGGAGGUGAAAAAGGUAUUCGGAUCGUAAAACUCGGUGAUUAGGGAAGAACAAAUGUGUAAGUAACAAUGCACGAAUUGACGGUACCUAAUCAGAAAGCGACGGCUAACUACGUG
rnacentral:rRNA from 1 species